rnacentral:rRNA from 1 species
UUGGUGAGGUAACGGCCCACCAAGGCGACGACGGGUAGCCGGCCUGAGAGGGCGAACGGCCACACUGGGACUGAGACACGGCCCAGACUCCUACGGGAGGCAGCAGUGGGGAAUAUUGCGCAAUGGGCGAAAGCCUGACGCAGCGACGCCGCGUGAGGGAUGAAGGCCUUCGGGUUGUAAACCUCUUUCAGCAGGGACGAAGCGAAAGUGACGGUACCUGCAGAAGAAGCACCGGCCAACUACGUGCCAGCAGCCGCGGUAAUACGUAGGGUGCAAGCGUUGUCCGGAAUUAUUGGGCGUAAAGAGCUCGUAGGCGGUUUGUCGCGUCGGCUGUGAAAACUCGGGGCUCAACCCCGAGCCUGCAGUCGAUACGGGCAAACUAGAGUGUGGUAGGGGAGACUGGAAUUCCUGGUGUAGCGGUGAAAUGCGCAGAUAUCAGGAGGAACACCGGCGGCGAAGGCGGGUCUCUGGGCCAUAACUGACGCUGAGGAGCGAAAGCGUGGGGAGCGAACAGGAUUAGAUACCCUGGUAGUCCACGCCGUAAACGUUGGGCGCUAGGUGUCGGGGACCUUCCACGUCUUCGGUGCCGCAGCUAACGCAUUAAGCGCCCCGCCUGGGGAGUACGGC